GCUCCCUUAGCUCAACUGGAUAGAGCAUCAGACUACGAAUCUGAGGGUCGGGAGUUCGAGUCUCUCCGAGCGCGCCA
rnacentral:tRNA from 1 species